UAUCAAAACCAAUCUAAGUCGAACUGAAUCUAAUUCAAUUAGACUUGAUCCAAAGCUCUUUACUCAAUCAAAUUGAGUAAAUUACUAAUUAUUUCUCUAUUGAUAGUAGAGUCCCAGUCCCAGUGGGACUCUCCUGCAGAGUCUCAGUCCCAAUAGGACUCUUUACCAGAGUCACAAUCCAAUUGGACUCAUCAACCAAC
rnacentral:lncRNA from 1 species